rnacentral:rRNA from 1 species
UACGUAGGGGGCUAGCGUUGUCCGGAUUUAUUGGGCGUAAAGAGCGUGUAGGCGGCCAGGUAGGUCUGCUGUGAAAACUCGAGGCUCAACCUCGAGACGUCGGCGGAAACCAUCUGGCUAGAGUCCGGAAGAGGAGAGUGGAAUUCCUGGUGUAGCGGUGAAAUGCGCAGAUAUCAGGAAGAACACCCGGUGGCGAAGGCGGCGA